UACAGAGGUCUCAAGCGUUGUUCGGAUUCAUUGGGCGUAAAGGGCGCGUAGGCGGCGGGGUAAGUCGGGUGUGAAAUCUCAGGGCUCAACCCUGAAACUGCACUCGAUACUGCUCUGCUUGAGGACUGGAGAGGAGACUGGAAUUCACGGUGUAGCAGUGAAAUGCGUAGAUAUCGUGAGGAAGACCAGUGGCGAAGGCGGGUUGCUGGGCUGACACUGACGCUGAUGCGCGAAAGCCAGGGAGCGAACGGG
rnacentral:rRNA from 1 species